rnacentral:siRNA from 1 species
GAGUACCGCUCAAGGAACCAUGGU